CCUCAGUAACGGCGAGUGAAGCGGCAACAGCUCAAAUUUGAAAUCUGGCCGCAAGGUCCGAGUUGUAAUUUGUAGAGGAUGUUUCGGGUGUGGUCCAGUCUAAGUUCCUUGGAACAGGACGUCAUAGAGGGUGAGAAUCCCGUAUGUGACUGGGUGCCUAAUCCCAUGUGAAACUCCUUCAACGAGUCGAGUUGUUUGGGAAUGCAGCUCAAAAUGGGUGGUAAAUUUCAUCUAAAGCUAAAUAUUGGCCAGAGACCGAUAGCGCACAAGUAGAGUGAUCGAAAGAUGAAAAGCACUUUGGAAAGAGAGUUAAACAGUACGUGAAAUUGUUGAAAGGGAAGCGCUUGCAACCAGACUUGCACGCAGCUGAUCAUCCGGUGUUCUCACCGGUGCACUCGGUUGCGUUCAGGCCAGCAUCGGUUUUGGUGGUGGGAUAAAGGCCCUAGGAAUGUGGCUCCUCUCGGGGAGUGUUAUAGCCUAGGGUGCAAUGCCGCCUACCGGGACCGAGGACCGCGCUUCGGCUAGGAUGCUGGCGUAAUGGUUGUAAGCGACCCGUCUUGAAACACGGACCAAGGAGUCUAACAUCUAUGCGAGUGUUUGGGUGUCAAACCCAUACGCGUAAUGAAAGUGAACGGAGGUGAGAACCCUUAAGGGUGCAUCAUCGACCGAUCCUGAUGUCUUCGGAUGGAUUUGAGUAAGAGCAUAGCUGUUGGGACCCGAAAGAUGGUGAACUAUGCCUGAAUAGGGUGAAGCCAGAGGAAACUCUGGUGGAGGCUCGCAGCGGUUCUGACGUGCAAAUCGAUCGUCAAAUUUGGGUAUAGGGGCGA
rnacentral:rRNA from 1 species